rnacentral:lncRNA from 1 species
CAAUGGGCAAUGUCUCUCAGUGAUUUACUCAUCCUGCCCUCCUCAUGUCGCCACCGCUUGAUGUUCAGUGAUUCGGCUUCAUGCAUACUACUCGUCAUCCUGCUCUUCUAUGUAAUUUAGGAUUUGCCACAACUUGCUAUGGUAAAAAGCUUGAACCUCUUGCCAAUUAACUUUUGAUAUCCUAUUGAUAUGUGUGUAAAACUGCACUAGUGAACAUGGUUUUGCAUUUGUUAUAGCCUGCUAUUGUAAAAAGGCCUGAACCUGAAUAUAUGCUACUGCAGUAUAGUUAGCCGUUGUGCAAAAGUUCAGUUAGCUAUCAGAUGCAUGGCCUUAGCUGAGAGAUUUCUUUUGCAGCCAUGUGCUUGUAUGGCUACUCUCGCAUACAAAAGGAAACUAUAUGUUGACCAUCUGAUUGUUGAACCCUGCUGUAAUGACAAAAACUAGAUCCUCUUGAUCGCUGAAUGGUGUCAUAAUCAGAUGAACAUAAACACAUGAACUAAAGUAUGCAUGUACAAGCAGGAAGCAGCGCAUCCUUGUAUCAUUGCAUCCUUGUAUCUACAUGUCCGAAUAAACAGCUUCUGGAUGCAACUACUAUAUGUAUGCUAAAACCUGAAACUUAUGGUUCUGCUGUCCCAUAAAUAGUACUUCAAUAGUGUUGUUAAAACUGAAUAAAGACUGAGCUUGCACUUAAUUUUGACUUGCUACAGAGAUGUAUAGCCCUGCACCAGUGUACUUUUCUCUCCACUACUAGAUAAAAGAGAACUAAAAUUAAUCUUUUCCAUGCCUCUCCUAAUUGAUUAGCUACCCAUGAUGUUAAGCAUCUAAAGCCCACAAGCAUUUUCAGUACGCCUAGAAAUUGAUACAAGCAGAUACAUGGUAAACUUCAGUUUUUGACUAUAUUAUGACAUACUAAACUGGGUAAAUCAAUAUGUUCCUAAUUUUGGAUGAGUAUAGUAAAUUUUCUGGUUUUCUGAACUAUGCCAGCAGCUACAGUAAUCAUAUUUUAUUGAUGUUUUUAUUCUGAACAUUCUGAUCUUGUUUUUCAUGGUUUGUUGUCUGCUUCUCCCUGACUGUGCCCCAGCUGCAUCAUGCAUGUUGAUUGCUUCACAUGUUAGAUCCCAAUGAAUGAAAUCUUCAUUUUCUAUUUAUAUAAUCUGACAUGAACUGCUUGUUGGCAGUGCUGCCUGUUUACGUCUAUUUUACGCAAUCUAGUUCUUUUUGUCUACGACCAAUGCGAAGCCAAAUUUUAACAGGUAAGUCAAUGUAAUCAGUUGUGUUACAAGUACUCCAUCCAUAUGCUUACCCAUAGUGCAAGAAAGAGUAAAUGCUUUUCAUUAAUUUCACUUUAACUAUUACUUAUAUAUAAUAUUAGUGCAUCAUGUGUUUGCAUCCUAACUUAUCUACUUUAUUAUAUUCAGAUGUAAGCUACAGAAAAGUACAUUUGCACAUAUAAAAUGGCUGCAUCUUUUAAGGUCCAUUUCCAAACAAGUUUAUGCAGAAUUCAUUUAUCUAGUGUAGGCUGGUGGUCUUUUUGCAAUUCAUUCAGUUCACUCACUGUUAUCGUUUCCAUCUUCAGUUACUAAAAUAAUGCCACCAAGCGAGAGCAUGUGAAGAGACGCAUAGUAAGCAACACGAAGAAUUGGAAGCUGUGAAGAAGAGCGAGUAAGAGAAGAAUGAAGCAUGGCAAAAGAAGCAACAUGAGAUGGAUAACCUCAUUGGUUUUCUCUUAAGGGUUCAAGCAAGUCAGCAAGCAACUCAACGGUCCUAGUACAAACCAGAAGGUGCAUGAAGGCCAUCCUUUUGUGAUGGAAAUAGUUGUUGAAUCAUACAUUGCAAUCAUCAUGACAACACAUGUUGUUUUUAUUUAUCUAAAUAUUUCUUUUCAACUUGACUAUUGUUGUGUCAAACUCGUGAGUUGGUGUUAUUUUGUAUUGUCAUUUUCGCUUAGAGGACAAUUAGGCUGAGAGAUUGAAUAUAUAGUAUGAUUUCUCUUCCAUUUUAUUUUAUGAUGUGAUUUGGAUCUUAACUUUUUAUAUAAUGUGAUGUGAAUUAAAUACUUACUGUGAGAUGGCGUCAUCUUCAUCAAUAAUGAAAGUAUGGACGCUAGCAGUAGGAUAU